GAUGAACGCUGACAGAAUGCUUAACACAUGCAAGUCGAUUCGAUUUACCUUCGGGUAUUGAGGAUGGCGGACGGGUGAGUAACGCGUAAGGAACUUGCCUCUUGGUCUGGGACAACUGUUGGAAACGACAGCUAAUACCGGAUAUUAUGAGAUUCUCGCAUGGGAAACUUAUGAAAGCUAUAUGCGCCAAGAGAGAGCCUUGCGUUCCAUUAGCUAGUUGGUGGGGUAACGGCCCACCAAGGCGACGAUGGAUAGCCGGCCUGAGAGGGUGAACGGCCACAAGGGGACUGAGACACGGCCCUUACUCCUACGGGAGGCAGCAGUGGGGAAUAUUGGACAAUGGACCAAAAGUCUGAUCCAGCAAUUCUGUGUGCACGAUGAAGGUCUUCGGAUUGUAAAGUGCUUUCAGUUGGGAAGAAGCAAGUGACGGUACCAACAGAAGAAGCGACGGCUAAAUACGUGCCAGCAGCCGCGGUAAUACGUAUGUCGCAAGCGUUAUCCGGAUUUAUUGGGCGUAAAGCGCGUCUAGGCGGAAAAAUAAGUCUGAUGUUAAAAUGCGGGGCUCAACUCCGUAUUGCGUUGGAAACUGUUUUUCUAGAGUACUGGAGAGGUGGGCGGAACUACAAGUGUAGAGGUGAAAUUCGUAGAUAUUUGUAGGAAUGNCGAUGGAGAAGUCAGCUCACUGGACAGAUACUGACGCUGAAGCGCGAAAGCGUGGGGAGCAAACAGGAUUAGAUACCCUGGNAGUCCACGCCGUAAAC
rnacentral:rRNA from 1 species